rfam:Gossypium raimondii Chr06_contig_769, whole genome shotgun sequence.
UAUUAAAAAAUUUCAUCCAUUUUUACCAUUAAAAACUAGUUUGGCUAACAGAAUAACCAAAGUUACACAUGACAUAUCACGUGUAUCUCAUUCUAACAUACAAAGACCAGUUUUUAACAGUAAAAAUGAAUAGAAUUUUUAAUA